rnacentral:rRNA from 1 species
AAUCGUCUUUCUGAUCCCUUCAUGCUACGCACCGUUCUAAUUUCUGACCUAUCAUCUUUCUUUGGUAAGGUAGUGUCUUUUUAUGGUGGCUAUGGGUUACGGACCGUGGGUGCGGGACUCCGGAGAGGGAGCCUGACUCACGGCUACCACAUCCGAGGAAGGCAGCAGGCGCCCAACUUGCCCAAUCCAGACUCUGGGAGGCAGUGACAAAAAAUAUCAGUCCGGGAUCCUAUGGGUCUUCUAAUUGGAAUGAGAACCAUCUA